GGGGAAUUAGCUCAGUGGUAGAGCACUGCGCUGGCAGCGCAGGGGUCAGGGGUUCAAGUCCCCUAUUCUCCA
rfam:Tumebacillus algifaecis strain THMBR28 chromosome, complete genome.